GAAGCGGCAACAGCUCAAAUUUGAAAUCUGGCGCGAGCCCGAGUUGUAAUUUGUAGAGGAUGCUUCGGGGCAGCGGCCGGUCUAAGUCUCUUGGAACGGGGCGUCAUAGAGGGUGAGAACCCCGUAUGCGACCGGUUGGCACCCGUCACGUAGCUCCUUCGACGAGUCGAGUUGUUUGGGAAUGCAGCUCUAAAUGGGAGGUAAAUUUCUUCUAAAGCUAAAUACCGGCCAGAGACCGAUAGCGCACAAGUAGAGUGAUCGAAAGAUGAAAAGCACUUUGGAAAGAGAGUUAAAAAGCACGUGAAAUUGUUGAAAGGGAAGCGCAUGCAACCAGACUUGUCGGCGGUGUUCCGCCGGUCUUCUGACCGGUCCAUUCGCCGCCGGCAGGCCAGCAUCAUCUGGGCGCGCCGGACAAAGGCGUGGGGAAUGUAGCUCCUCGGAGUGUUAUAGCCCUGCGCACAAUACGGCGCCGCCUGGGUGAGGUCCGCGCUUCGGCUGGGAUGCUGGCGUAAUGGUUGUCUGCGGCCCGUCUUGAAACACGGACCAAGGAGUCUAACAUCUAUGCGAGUGUUUGGGUGUCAAACCCUGACGCGUAAUGAAAGUGAACGGAGGUGGGAAGCGCGAGCUGCACCAUCGACCGAUCCUGAUGUCUUCGGAUGGAUUUGAGUAAGAGCAUAGCUGUUGGGACCCGAAAGAUGGUGAACUAUGCCUGGAUAGGGUGAAGCCAGAGGAAACUCUGGUGGA
rnacentral:rRNA from 1 species